UCUACUUCACUCGAACCGAUUAAGUGAAGGGAAGGGAUCAGUUGCGUGUAUAAGGACACCACUCCUUCCCAUCCAAAUUAUGUUUACACCAGUGGCGGCUGGUAGUUUUUAAAGUGAGGGAGGAAGGACUGCGCGCUUGGUUGCCAUUGGCCUGCUUGCACUGUCGGUGUAUGGUGGCAUAAGAAUGAACGGAUCGGAUCGCAAAGGUGCGGAUUGGGUCGCGUUUCCACCGCCAAAAGUGGGCGUGACCCGGACUUAGCCGUACCCGUUUUGGCCUCGUUUUCAGGACUCCUCCGUUGGGGUACUGAAAACGAGACGAGACGCCUGAAAGGGUCCCGGGAAAUUCUAGCUACACACCCCCUCCGUUGAUUGGUCGACAGAAUCAUCACUUCCGGGGCGACGUGGGGAUAAAAACAAACAAACAGUAGCCUCGAGGGAUAUAAAAUCCCCGCCGGCACAGCUCUCAGGUUCAUUGGAGUACACAAGCCUCUCCACCACGGCAAGGUGCAGUCCACAGAGAGGAAGGGCCACUGGGAAGUGGCCAGUAAAAAUUCAGGAUGGAAACCAUUUUUCAAGGUGACUGCCAUUCCUGUCCUAUGUUCAUUGCCACUGUUUCCAAAUAGUGAUACAGAAAAUAUGCCUCUAUUAAGGCCACUAUUAUUAUUAUUACUACUAUUAAAAUUGUAGGGCCAAUAAAAAAUUCAAGAUGGAGACUUUUCCAUUUUGGUAGUAUGUACACUGAUGCACACAUGCAUGUUAGCAAAAUAACGGCCACACUUUUAGAAAAGGGCAAUCGCAAAAAUUCUAGAUUCAUUUUUCACGGUGGGUGUUGCUUUAAUAGUGUACUCUGUUGGGACUGAGUUAAAAGGAAGGAUAAAAAAAAAAAGUUGUAUUCACAUUUUGACCAGCUCAAAGGCCUUCUGGUUAGACUGUCGAACCUGAGAUUGAGAGUUUGUGCCCUGUCGAGUCAUAAUAAAGACUGUUAAA
ensembl:lncRNA